rnacentral:rRNA from 1 species
UACGAAGGGGGCUAGCGUUGUUCGGAAUUACUGGGCGUAAAGCGCACGUAGGCGGAUUUGUAAGUCAGGGGUGAAAUCCCGGGGCUCAACCUCGGAACUGCCUUUGAUACUGCAGAUCUCGAGUCCGGAAGAGGUGAGUGGAAUUCCUAGUGUAGAGGUGAAAUUCGUUGAUAUUAGGAAGAACACCAGUGGCGAAGGCGGCUCACUGGUCCGGUUCUGACGCUGAGGUGCGAAAGCGUGGGGAGCAAACAGG